rnacentral:lncRNA from 1 species
UCACCUUGGCUGAGGCCGUGGAUACCAAUUAAGUCUCGAAGGUACCCCACUAGACAUCCUUAGGAAGACCCAUUUUUGCUUAGUGAUCACUGUAUAAAUUAUAGCAGGGUUUCCCUCGCAAUCCUUCAGCAACCAAAGGUCCACCAGAUGUCAUCUCCAAUCUCAGCUUACAUGUAUUUCCCAUCAUCAUAGCAAAUAAAUCAUGCACUGAUGUCC